AUGAAGAACGUAGCGAAAUGCGAUAAGUAAUGUGAAUUGCAGAAUUCAGUGAAUCAUCGAAUCUUUGAACGCACCUUGCGCCCUUUGGCCAUUCCGAAGGGCAUGCCUGUUUGAGUAUCAUGAACACCUCAACUCUCAUGGCUUGCCAUGAUGAGCUUGGACUUUGGGGGUCUUGCUGGCCUGUGGUCGGCUCCUCUCAAAUGAAUCAGCUUGCCAGUGUUUGGUGGCAUCACAAGUGUGAUAACUAUCUGCGCUCGUGGUUUCCAUCAGAUAACCUCCAGUGAUGGAGGUUCGCUGGAGCUCAUAAAUGUCUCUCCUAAGCGAGGACAGCUCUUUUAAUGUUUGAUCUCAAAUCAGGUAGGACUACCCGCUGAACUUAAGCAUAUCAAUAAGCGGAGGA
rnacentral:misc_RNA from 1 species